CUCUUUCCAGGAUUCAGCGCUGCCCCUCCAGGGGUCCAUUCGAGGCUGUGCUUGUGGCCCCUUUGAGAAUGGGGAAAAGAGGCUCACCUACUCCCUCGGCGCCAGCUACGGAGAUGAUGUGACACAACACUGACGUUGUUCCCGACUCCUGCCUGGCCCGAAUUCCAGGGCCAAAGGAAGCCUGGUCCUCUUCGCGGGACCACACGAGUGCGGAAGCAAGAUCAUAGCCAUCUUCGGUGCCUGGGAAUGGGGGCUCCGCCACUGUUUGAGUGAUUCCGGUCAAAUCAAAGCGGCUCCUGCCCCUACAUAACUGCACGGCAUUUGGUGGCACUUACAGAAACCCAGGCCAGGUCCUGCAAAUCAAGGUAAAGAACCUGUGUGGAUGGGCAGUGGGAUGCCAGAGCGGGAGUGCUCUGGAUUAUGCAGACCACCAAGAACGCCCAGAGGUCGCCGAUGACCUCCGGCCCUAUCCCUGUCCAUGCCAUCCCUGCCUCUCUGGAGGGAGGAGCCGGCCCCGGUGUCAUCACAGAUGAAGAGGGGGAUCCCACAGCAGAGAAGGCCAUGACAUUUCAGUGCCUUCCUCCAUCCGCCUGCUACUGAAGGGCCAAUGGAUUCAACAGCUCCAGCUGCUAUUCCCGGUGUGACGGAGCAGGAUCCCUCUGACCCUCACCGUGUCCGGAGAAGGCAUUAGGGGCUCUCCAAACUCAGACCGCAGGACAGUACCAAGCUCUUAGUGCAGUGCUCGGCACACAGUAAGUGCUCAGUAAUUAUGAUGAAAGAAUGAAUGACAGAUCCGCGGGAGCAGGGCCUCUGCGACAGCUGCUUGCAAACGCCAGGGCAAAGGGGCAGGGUGUCCUCGGCCGGCCCAGGGUCCCAAGUCGUCCUCUGCAGCCCAGCUGCGUCGGGACACAGAGAGGGUCUGCUGGGGGGGGACACUGCUCCCAUCUCCCACCAGACACAAAGGGGGACAAGAAAAAGAGAGGCAGAAGAUGGGGCAUGGGGCUAAAUGAGGGCAAGAGAGCAGAGCAGGAUACAGCAGUGUCCAGGGCACCCAGAGUCCAAACAUCAGGGGGUAGAGAGCUGCAGAGGUCCAGUUCGGGCUCCUCCCGUUCCAGCAACCCCAGGAGACCAUCCUCUCCCCACGGGAACCUCCUGCCUAUGGCCAGUGGUUUCUCUCUGUCCCCUCGCCCCAGGCUCUCUGGUCGGUGUUCGGUUUCUGAGCGGGCAGGCAAUGGUAAUGCUACACCGCAGUGCCCCUAACACGUGUGUUCUGCUUACACACACACACACACACACACACACACACACACACACACACUCGGCCAGGCAGCGCAGCAUUUCUGGAGCCCUCCUGCCUGCCUGGCAAAGAUGACUGGGAAUGCAGACUGUGGGAGGAAACGACAAUGUUCAUUGUUUGGAUUAAAUAUUUUUCUUGGCCCUCCU